CCCCCACAUCCCUCCUCCGGGCCCGCCCCCACAUCCCUCCUCCGGGCCCGCCCCCACAUCCCUCCUCCGGGCUGCCUCCCGGACCCGCGUCCCACCUCCUGGACCCGCCUCUCAGCCGCGCGUCCCACCUCCGUAUCCCGCUUUCGGGGCCCAUUGCGCAUCACAUCACAUCAGCCCCCGCUUGCCAUUCCCGCAUCCCGGUCCCGCACCUGCGACCCAACUCCGCGUCCCCGCGUUCCAACCCCUCGUCCCAUCCAGCGUCUCGACCCCGCGUUCCUCGGCGGGAGGGGAAUGGAGGUUUGAUGGAUUGUUGCAGCAAAGGGUGCUUGAGUCUCCAAAUACAGAGGGAAAAAAAUCAAGGAGUCCGAGUCCUGUGGAUUCAUGCUUUUUACAUUUGAGCAUCCCUGAGCACUAUGCUACCUUUAGGCUAGGCCUGUUUACCAGCUAUUGAUACAUCUUGGGUAUCUGCAGCUCACCACCUUGCUUUUUGAACUGCCUCAGUUAUACUCCCUCUCUGGGCCUAAUUUAACAGGAUUUCACAUCUGAAUGUGCGUGAAACCUGCACAUUUCUUCUGACACUGACAAUAUCAGAUAUGUGAACAUCUCAUGUCAAUGGUUUAAACAAUCAUCUCUUUUCUACAGCCAGUGAUACCUCUUAAACUUGUCCCUAAUACAUUUAAUAUUGUAUUGGGAAACACACAAGUGGAGCAGGAAUAUGGAGAGUGGAAAAAUUGAUAUGUAUGAGUAGAAGCAAACAUUUUUACAUAUAAGGGGUGUGAGACAGAAUUAAUUCAAAAUUAAGUGAAGCUGUAAUAAAAAAUGAGACUACCCGAGGUGAUUUACA
rnacentral:lncRNA from 1 species